GGCGCUGGCAUCAUCAGUGCAGUGGAGCGCAGGGAGAGGCUCGGCAGGGCGCGACGACCGGCCGUGACCUGACCUUACCUGGAGUGACUUUUGGUGACCGCACACCGGAACUGAAGUGUGGAGGCAAAGGUGAACUCUCCUUUGCUCGCCGAGUUGCGAUAGAUUGCAUCAGCGGGCGGCAACUGCAGUGGUGCCAAGACUCUGUGAUGGGGAAAAGUUACAGAGUGAAACGCAGCAGCAUUCUAAUUCCAUCACGAGUGAAAAGUUCCCGAGCCGGUGACUGCUGAAGUGCCGAAGCUCCUGAGAAGGAACGACUUCAUUGAUAGGAGUGGCCACUUGCUUUCGGAAGACUUGGUGCAGUUCAGCAUGCCUGACGAGGUGCUCCUGCGGGACCCGUUUUGUCCCGGGUACGUUGACAGCAUCGGCAACUGGAACAACGGCUUUGCGUGUCCGCCGGGCGAGGCUGAGCCUCUGUACUGCUGUGGGACGGCCACCUACCGCUACUGCUGUCCGGCCUCAGUCGAGGGAGGGACGGAGCGGGGCGCCGCGCCGGUCCCAGCCAAUGCCAGCAGUCUGCUGCUGAUUCUGGGGAUCGUGUUCGGCGUCCUCGUCUCCACUGUCCUGGUCGUCACAGCUCUGUUCUUUGGCUGGCGCACGUGGCGCGCGCACAAAAAACGGCCCAGAACCGGAGGUCAGUUAUUCUGCGUGGCCGGCGGAGGCACGCCCAGCCUGUACACGGGCACCUUUAGCCGGGAGACCAGCCGGCUGGGCAGUCCCCAGCUGGGUGAUGACGUCCUGCACACAGUGGACGAGGUGGCCGUCAGACAACCCUACCGGUUCGCCAGUCCCGUCAGCCGGCCGGCGACGACCAGCUUCACGGCCAACUUCGGACACAGAGCGCUGUUGUCUGGUUCUUCCGAGAGCACCACGAGCUCCUCAGCGUCCGACAGCACCAUGGAGCAGCUGUACGCUAGCGUCCGUCAGCCUCCUCCAGCCUACUCGUUCAGGAGCGAAACCCCUCGCACACUGUCCCUGUCCCCUCCCGGGAGCGUCUCAAAACCCGAGCUAGACUUCCGAGAGAGCUCCUUCGAUACCUCCGCUGAGAUGGAUGUCCUCCGACACAAUCGGUCAAGGUCAUCCUCUCUGUUCAAGUCCACGCGCUUCUGAGGCGGGCGCGUGGGCGUCGCGUUGGCCAAAGCGUUGGCCAUGCUCCCCAGUGUGUCUGUGGUUCCCUCGGCUGCGAUCUACAGCGCCCGCGGCGCCGUGCCGCUGGCGGGUAGCCGGCGCUUGUCAGUGCGCCUGCGCGGGGGGGGGGCGAGGGGCGGGGUUGUUGGUCGCCCGGGUCGAGCCGCGGGUAGGCGGCAGUACGGCACGGAGCGCCGCGAGUGUGUCGCGCGUUGUGUGGCGGGCGGAGCGGCGGCGGCGUGACGGUGGGCGCUGCGGUACCGUACCGAGGAGAGAGAGAGGGAGGGAGAGCUGCAGACACGGCCAGAGGAGAGAGGCCGGAGCCAUGUCCAACAGACGGACACUCGGAGAAAACCACGAAGUGCUGAGCCGAAACGCCUUCUGUUCGGGCUACGUGGACAGCUUCGGGAAGUGGAACAAUGGCUUUCCGUGUCCGCGGAUUGACGACGAGGAGGUGUUUUGCUGCGGGACGACCACCUACCGGUACUGCUGCAGCGGCCGCGUCGGCUCCGACUACGACGGCGACUCGGACCGAGCCGCCGCCGACUUCCUCAGCGAAAACCUGCCUCUGGUGCUGGGCGUGGCAGCGGGAGCCCUCAUCACCCUCGUCUUGGUCAUCAUCAUCUCCUGCUUCUACUGCAGCUGCUGCGCGGGCUACAAGAAGCGCAGCGAGGCCAAGAGAGACCGGAUGUACGCAUCCACGUCCAGCGGCGUGGCCAACAUGUACAGCUGCUCAACAGCCUCUCUGGGGAGGCGCGACUUCAGGGAGGCGGGCCGCGACAGCCGCCGCGAGCAGCUCGAGGACAUGCUGCACAUCCAGGAGGUGAUGGAGGUGGCCUCGGUGUCGCAGCGCAGCGCGCCCAGCCUGCCGCGCACCUUCCGCCACAACAGAGCGUCCCUGGCCGACUCGGUUGGCAACGCCUCCGUUUCCACGACGACCGACAACGAGCGUCAGCUGUUUGUCAAACACGAGUCGGUGGACAUGCCGCCCAUCUACAACCUCAACAAGCUGAGCAACUUCGAGGAGGUGCUGCCCUACCCGCCGUCGUUCGCCUCAGAGCGGUGCGACUUCGGCUCGGGUCACUACAUCGCCGGCAUGUCGCCAAACGACGACAACUUCUACCGUGCCACCAAGAUGUGAGCGAGUUGAGUCACUGCGCGAAGUCGAGACGACUCUAUAGUGACCGGAACUCAUACCGGGGUGUGUAGGUGGCUGCUAUGUGGUCAGGUGGUUACCAGACGGUUCUUAGACGGUUACCAGACGGUGGUUGUGCUGGCCAUUCGUCUGUGAUCACCGCGCACAUAACCGCACACCAGACGCCGGGACCGGAAACCUCUGCAGACUUCCGACCGCAAACCGAUGACGGACGCGUCUGGUAGUGGCUGGGGCCGAACUGAAGGGGUGGCGGUCCACCAGAGCCCGGUCGGGACGCUCUGAACCGGCGCACCUUUGGACUCGAGGGGAGAGGGACGGUGUGUCUGCGAAUCAUCAGCGCGCCGCGGACUGUGGGCGCUCCCCCGGUGUGGUGACGAUGCAGAGGGGGCCAGCGGGCCGCCGUAUCAUCUGAGGCUUCAGGACAGUCAUCCCAUGUGAUAGGAAUGAAUGCGACGCCGCGCGGGCAUUGAUAGUGCGAGGGGUUAUCGGUGCGGUGCUAUUAGUGCCAGCGCAGGGUGCGUUGCUGCGUGUGAGUGUUUGAGAUGUGGUUGAUACGCGUAUGAGCCCGGGUCUGUGGACGUAAAAGGACGGCUUUGUGUCACAGUGGCAAACGUUGUCGCUGACACCGACAGUUCACAGUGUCGUUUGCACAGCCUGAUGUAACACAGUCCAGUAUCGCCGUUUGUAUCCAAUCCUGUCGAAAGAGCGUUCCAGUCAGUGCGCGACACAUGUUUUUACACUCGUCCGCUGCGUGUACGAGCUGCCUCCGCUGAGGUCGAGGGCCGGGCUGGACCGUACUCCCGCCCGAGGCACUGAGAACAGUGCUGGAACGUGUCCUCUGGUGGUUUACGCUGCCGUCAGGUGGCCAUCAGCUGCCGGUCGCGUCCCGGACGCCGCUCAAACUCUACUCCCACCCUCCCUCUCUAUUAUACAACGUGAGGUCCAGCGUGACCCGUAUAUGAACCGACCGUGGUCUGGUCUGGUCUGGUAUGAAACCUGAUUUAUGGUCUGAUUACUGAGCUACGGGGAGGUCGCUAGAGUGUCCCGCCUGCCCGCACUACGCGAGAUUAUUUAUGUUUGUUUUGUAUCUGCUGUAGGUAGCCAGGAAGUGCAUAGCGCGUGACCGCACCGAGCCAUUCUCUGUGCAUUAUUCGCGGACUGGGUGACUGCCAUUGGUUUAAUGAGGGCUCGAUGAGUUUGCACUGGGCGUGCCGGCGAACUCUGUGCGCUGUGGUCACAGAGUGACCGUGUUUAUAUACGUGGCCGAUGACUGGUACAACCCGUCAGCAUUGCACGCUGUAUUUAUACUCUGCUGACCGCCGGGCGCAGUGCAGUGGUGUGUGCGCGUCCCGGCCCCGGCCGGGUGACAAGGCUCACCCACCGAGAGCGAGACCGCGCCUCAGCCAAUUAGGGGCGCUAAUAAUCCAGAGAUACGCUCUCGGUGUCGAGCGCGUAUGGGGCUGCUGCAGAGCGCUUUGAGUCGUGCACGCAGCGCUGGUAUGUUCGAUGGAGUGCAUACUGCAUAUGCUGGUGUGAAGUCAUCUUGGUCUCGUUUUCAGUAUAAUACAUGCGUGCCAUCAUCGCCCA